rnacentral:rRNA from 1 species
AUUGAACGCUGGCGGCAGGCCUAACACAUGCAAGUCGAACGAGUGGCGGACGGGUGAGUAAUGUCUGGGAAACUGCCUGAUGGAGGGGGAUAACUACUGGAAACGGUCGCUAAUACCGCAUACCAUUCGAUUUGCACAUAUGGGAUGCGCUAGUUGGGGGGGUAACGGCUCACCAAGGCGACGAUCCCUAGCUGGGAUGAGAGGAUGACCAGCCACACGGGAACUGAGACACGGUCCAGACUCCUACGGGAGGCAGCAGUGGGGAAUAUUGCACAAUGGGCGCAAGCCUGAUGCAGCCAUGCCGCGUGUAUGAAGAAGGCCUUCGGGUUGUAAAGUACUUUCAGCGGGGAGGCGGUACCCGCAGAAGAAGCACCGGCUAACUCCGUGCCAGCAGCCGCGGUAAUUC